rnacentral:rRNA from 1 species
GGUUAAGUCCCGCAACGAGCGCAACCCUCGUGUUUAGUUGCCAUCAUUAAGUUGGGCACUCUAAACAGACUGCCGGGGUCAACUCGGAGGAAGGUGGGGAUGACGUCAAGUCAUCAUGCCCCUUAUGUCCAGGGCUUCACGCAUGCUACAAUGGCUGGUACAGAGAGUGGCGAGCCUGUGAGGGUGAGCGAAUCUCGGAAAGCCGGUCUCAGUUCGGAUUGGGGUCUGCAACUCGACCUCAUGAAGUCGGAGUCGCUAGUAAUCGCAGAUCAGCAACGCUGCGGUGAAUACGUUCCCGGGGCGUCGACGCGGCCG